rnacentral:rRNA from 1 species
UGGGGAAUAUUGCACAAUGGGCGAAAGCCUGAUGCAGCGACGCCGCGUGAGGGAUGACGGCCUUCGGGUUGUAAACCUCUUUCAGCAGGGAAGAAGCGAAAGUGACGGUACCUGCAGAAGAAGCGCCGGCUAACUACGUGCCAGCAGCCGCGGUAAUACGUAGGGCGCAAGCGUUGUCCGGAAUUAUUGGGCGUAAAGAGCUCGUAGGCGGUUAGUCGCGUCUGCUGUGAAAAUCUCGAGGCUCAACCUCGGGCUUGCAGUGGGUACGGGCUGACUAGAGUGCGGUAGGGGUGACUGGAAUUCCUGGUGUAGCGGUGGAAUGCGCAGAUAUCAGGAGGAACACCGAUGGCGAAGGCAGGUCACUGGGCCGCAACUGACGCUGAGGAGCGAAAGCAUGGGAGCGAACAGGAUUAGAUACCCUGGUAGUCCAUGCCGUAAACGUUGGGCACUAGGUGUGGGG